rnacentral:rRNA from 1 species
GACGAACGCUGGCGGCGUGCUUAACACAUGCAAGUCGAACGGUGAAGCGCUUUCCUUUUUGGUUGGUGUGGAUGAGUGGCGAACGGGUGAGUAACACGUGAGUAACCUGCCCCCUUCUUCUGGAUAACCGCAUGAAAGUGUGGCUAAUACGGGAUAUUCUGCGCCUGCUGCAUGGUGGGUGUGGGAAAGAUUGUGCCUUUGGGUGUUUUCGGUUGGGGAUGGGCUCGCGGCCUAUCAGCUUGUUGGUGGGGUGAUGGCCUACCAAGGCGGUGACGGGUAGCCGGCCUGAGAGGGUGGACGGUCACACUGGGACUGAGACACGGCCCAGACUCCUACGGGAGGCAGCAGUGGGGAAUAUUGCACAAUGGGCGCAAGCCUGAUGCAGCGACGCCGCGUGAGGGAUGGAGGCCUUCGGGUUGUGAACCUCUUUCGCCAGUGAAGCAGGCCUGCUCCUUGUGGGUGGGUUGACGGUAGCUGGAUAAGAAGCGCCGGCUAACUACGUG